UAUAUACUUCCUCCGUCCGAAAAUACUUGUCAUCAAAAUAGACAAAAAGGGAUGUAUCUAGAACUAAAAUAUAUCUAAAUACAUCCCCUUUUAUUCAUUUUGAUAACAAGUAUUUCCGGACGGAGGGAGUACAUC
rnacentral:pre_miRNA from 1 species